rnacentral:rRNA from 1 species
GGAGCAUGUGGCUUAAUUCGAUGCAACGCGAAGAACCUUACCCGGGCUAAAUCCGACUUGUUACCUCCCGAAACCGGAGGGUCCUUUCGGGCCGGGUUGGAAGUUGCUGCAUGGCUGUCGUCAGCUCGUGCCGUGAGGUGUUGCCUUAAGUGGCGCAACGAGCGCAACCCCUGUGGUCAGUUACCAGCACGUUGUGGUGGGGACUCUGGCCAGACUGCCUACGCAAGUAGUGAGGAAGGUGGGGACGACGUCAAGUCAUCAUGGCCCUUAUGUCCGGGGCUGCACACGUGCUACAAUGGAUGGUACAGAGGGAAGCUACCCGGCGACGGGAUGCAGAUCUCGAAAGCCAUUCUCAGUUCGGAUUGGAGUCUGCAACUCGACUCCAUGAAGGUGGAAUCGCUAGUAAUCGCGUAUCAGCAACGACGCGGUGAAUACGUUCCCGGGCCUUGACACACCGCCCGUCAAGCGAUGGAAGUCAGGAGUACCUGAUGUCGGCGUGCUAACCUUCGGGGGGGCACUGCCUAGG